CACGUAGGGCGCAAGCGUUGUCCGGAAUUAUUGGGCGUAAAGAGCUCGUAGGCGGCUUGUCGCGUCGGUUGUGAAAGCCCGGGGCUUAACUCCGGGUCUGCAGUCGAUACGGGCAGGCUAGAGUUCGGUAGGGGAGAUCGGAAUUCCUGGUGUAGCGGUGAAAUGCGCAGAUAUCAGGAGGAACACCGGUGGCGAAGGCGGAUCUCUGGGCCGAUACUGACGCUGAGGAGCGAAAGCGUGGGGAGCAAACAGG
rnacentral:rRNA from 1 species